GAUAUUGAUCCAUUUAAUCCAGAGGAGGAAUAUUAUCUACAUCUGGAAGAAUUGAGAUUUCAGGAUGAAGCAUAUGGUAUGGAUUUAACAUAUGAUAUGGAUUCAAGCGAUUUGGAUGACGGAUUGCUUUACAACAAACAAGAAAACAUACGCAACAGACCAUACAAGACAGACAGAAAACCAGUUGAAAAUAGGGACACUGCCAUGGAACGGCCAGUAUCCUAUAUAAAGGAAACUGGGGCUUUAAACGCGUUUGAGGCAUGCUAGACUAGCCACUAGACUAUUUCUACAUUUUUCCUUUUAUUGACGAAUUCAAUUUCAUAGAGACAUAACCCAAUCUAGUUUAGAGAUUUUCACAGAGGAAUGAUGUUGAAAUUAUCAGUCUAGUACUAUCCGAAAUGCUCUCAGAGAGAUGAUUGGCACCUUUGGCUAUUGAGUACCCGUGGAUAAUUUGGUACAGCAUGCCAGUGGUCAGAUGUUAUGCUGCUGAUCCUAAAUCUGUUUACCUAACUGAAUUUUAAUGGUGAUAACUGAAGAACCAUUCUCAUUCUGAAUAAAAUAUAAACAGUGGAAACUCCACAGGUCGCUCAACACAACAAAAACGAAAAUGUUGCAGGUUCGGUUUCAUUGUGCCUGUUCAUGGACGGUAGUGGAAAUGCAUGCUACCGUCCACGCCCUCUAUCCCCGGGUUGAGCAGAACUCAACAUUUACAUAUGCUAAAAGUACAAAAAGCAAUUUAGAGACAUCCGCAGAUGUAUUCAAACGGCGGUGAACAUAGAACCUCCAAUGAUACACGUGUUGAGGCGUGUAAUUCCAUAAAGAGCGGCGUUUGGUCCCCAGAUAAAAUAAAGGGUUUGCCCCAAACGAGAAAACAAUGGGCAGAACUAAACAGAUUGAAAUUUAGGAAGGGGAUCUGAGGUUAUGGAGCCUGUGUAUCAUAGGAACAGUCUAAAGACAAAAUUAAAAAAGCAGACACCAUAUCCAAGGGGUGAUUAUACAAUACCCAAGGCUAUGAAAACGGGAGUAUUGGAACCACCCGGGCCGAAAUGGUCAUGUUGAGAAACUAAACAGUAUCAACAACACGACAUAAAAGUCGUGCUGAACUAUCUGAGAAGAUCGAAAUAUAACAGACAAUACCGGUAAUAUUCAUUUCUUAACUUUAAAAUAUCACCACUUCUCAGCUGAAAUAUAGCUGUGCGGAAAAGGCGUUUAGCUACUAUUCUCGGGGUUGCAGGUUCGAAGGUCCGAGUCCUAUGUCUGUCAUUAAUUUUUUUUAGCUCACCGGAGCACAAAUUGCUCAAUGUGACCUAUUGUAACCGGUCAUUUUCCGUCGUGCGUCGGCGUGCGUCGUGCGUCAACAUGUGCUUUGUGAACACACUAGAGGCCACAUUUGUGACCCAGUCUUUAUAAAUCUUAGUCAGAAUGUUAGUCUUGAUGAUCUCUAGGUCAAGUUUGAAACUGGGUCAUGUGAGAUUAAAAACUAGGUCAGUAGGCUAGAUCAAAGGAAAAACUUUUGAACACUCUAGAGGCCACAGUUGUAACCUAAUAUUAAUGAAACUUGGUCAGAAGUAUUGUCUUGAUGAUUUUAGGUCAAGUUUGAAUCUGGGUUAUGUGAAGUAAAAAACUAGGUCACCCAGUCAGAUCAAAGGAAAAGCUUGUGAACACUCUAGCGACCGCAGUUUUGACUCAAUCUUUAUGAUUCUUAGUCAAAAUGUUUGCCUUGAUGAUCUCUAGAUC